UUCCUCAAGAAUCCAAGUGAAUUCAUUUGCUUCCCCUACACGACAGUUUCGAGGCAAGUAAGAGAUUUCCCCUCUCUUCUCCUUCCACCCUCAAUUCUCUCCAAACCGUGCGGUCUCUCUCUUCUCUCAAAGCCGAUCUCUCUCAUUCGUAAAUCUAAGACUUUCCACCUUCAAUCCUCAAAGGAAAAUCGACCCCCUUUGAGAUUUCGAACUUCUCUUCAUUUAUUGUUGCUAUGUACUUCCGUGACUACAAAAGAGACCCAAACAGGAAUUUAUUUUCAAGAUUCAAGGAACUUACUUGUAAAGCCAUGAGGUAAUGAUGAAAAGGCUGGGGAGUAAGGCAUUACUGCAGAGGGAGAGGCAGACGCUUAGGACCUUCCCUAACGAGGACAGUUAUGUUACGAAUGAUGGGUUAUGUUAUGUAUAGAUAUUUUAAUUUGGGAUGGACUCUGAGAGUCUCUUAUGAAUGAAUGUUCGAAUAGAACGUCCAUUAAGUGUUCCCUUUUAUUAAAUGAAGAAAAUUUAGAGUGCAUGUGUUA